rnacentral:rRNA from 1 species
UGACAUAGGGCGCAAGCGUUGUCCGGAAUUAUUGGGCGUAAAGAGCUCGUAGGCGGUGUGUCACGUCGUUCGUGAAACCUGCAGCUUAACUGGUGGGCGUGCGGGUCGAGUACGGGCAUCACUGGAGUUCGGCAGGGGGAGAGCUUGGAAGUUCCUGGUGUAGCGGUGAAAUGCGCAGAUAUCAGGAAGAACACCCGUGGCGAAGGCGGCUCUCUGGGACGGUACUGACGCUGAGACGCGAAAGCGUGGGGAGCGAACAGG